UUAAGAAUAUUGGACAAUGGGGGCAACCCUGAUCCAGGUAUACCGCGUGUGUGAAGAAGGCCCUAGGGUUGUAAAGCACUUUAAUCAGAGAAGAAGCAUUUUAAGUUAAUACCUUAUUAUGUUGACGUUACCUGAAGAAUAAGGACCGGCUAACUCCGUGCCAGCAGCCGCGGUAAUACGGAGGGUCCAAGCGUUAAUCGGAAUUACUGGGCGUAAAGCGCGCGUAGGCGGUUUAGCAAGUUGUAUGUGAAAGCCCUGGGCUCAACCUAGGAACUGCAUUCAAAACUACUAAGCUAGAGUACGAGAGAGGAGAGUAGAAUUUCUGGUGUAGCGGUGAAAUGCGUAGAUAUCAGAAGGAAUACCAAUGGCGAAGGCAGCUCUCUGGCUCGUCACUGACGCUGAGGUGCGAAAGCGUGGGUAGCAAACAGG
rnacentral:rRNA from 1 species